UACGUAGGGGGCAAGCGUUGUUCGGAAUGACUGGGCGUAAAGGGUGCGUAGGCGGUGUAGCAAGUUAGAAGUGAAAUACCUAGAGCUUGACUCAGGUGCUGCUUCUAAAACUGCUAUACUUGAGUGCAGUAGAGGAAAGUGGAAUUCCUAGUGUAGCGGUGGAAUGCGUAGAUAUUAGGAGGAACAUCAGUGGCGAAGGCGACUUUCUGGACUGUAACUGACGCUGAGGCACGAAAGUGUGGGGAGCAAACAGG
rnacentral:rRNA from 1 species